rnacentral:rRNA from 1 species
AUUGAACGCUGGCGGCAUGCUUUACACAUGCAAGUCGAACGGUAGGGUAGCAAUACCUGAGAGUGGCGAACGGGUGAGUAAUGUAUCGGAACGUGCCCAAGAGUGGGGGAUAGCCCGGCGAAAGCCGGAUUAAUACCGCAUACGAUCUAUGGAUGAAAACGGGGGACCGCAAGGCCUCGUGCUCCUGGAGCGGCCGAUAUCAGAUUAGGUAGUUGGUGGGGUAAAGGCUCACCAAGCCAACGAUCUGUAGCUGGUUUGAGAGAACGACCAGCCACACUGGGACUGAGACACGGCCCAGACUCCGACGGGAGACAGCAGUGGGGAAUUUUGGACAAUGGGCGCAAGCCUGAUCCAGCCAUGCCGCGUGCAGGAUGAAGGCCUUCGGGUUGUAAACUGCUUUUGUACGGAGCGAAAAGGCUUCUUCUAAUACAGGAGGCUCAUGACGGUACCGUAAGAAUAAGCACCGGCUAACUACGUGCCAGCCGCCGCCGUAA